AUGGAGCUCACGAGCAGCACGAUAUUGAAGCCGGUGCCGCACCCGCUCGUUGGCGAGAAGGUCCCGCUGACCAUCUUCGACCGCGCUGCCUCAGACCUGUUCGUCCCCACCGUGCUAGCCUACCUCGCGCCGGCGCCGUCCAACGAGGCUCUCAAGGAAGGCCUUCUCAAGGCCGUCGCGCCGUAUCCCCACCUGGCGGGGCGCCUCGCCGUCGAUCAGCUCGGCCGGCGCUUCCUCCACGUGAAUAACGAAGGCGUGCUCCUAAUUGAGACCACGGUACCGGCUAACCUGGCGGACGUGCUCGUACAAGGCCGCAUAGCCACCGGAGUCGACCACCUCUACCCUACAGUACCAGAGCCAGAGGAGAACAAUGGGGACGCGCUGCUGCAGAUCCAGCUGAACAGGUACGGGUGCGGAGGUCUUGUGGUCGGGAUGUGCUCCCACCACCGUGUCGCCGACGGCCACUCCAUGAGCAUGUUCUUCACCGCGUGGGCAACAGCGGUCCGCGAGGGUAUGGACUUCAUCAUGCCGACCGCAUUCCUCAACCGUGCGGAAACCGCCUUGCCGCGAAGCUCGCCGACCCCGGUGUUCGACCACCGCUCAGUGGAAUUCACGUGCAGAGAAGGAACCGUCGUCCCCGUGGAGAGGAUAAAAAACCUCACGGUGCACUUCACAGCCGAGUUCGUCGCCAAUCUCAAAGCCCGUGUUUGUGCCCGCUGCAGCACGUUCCAGUGCCUGCUCGCGCACGUCUGGAAGAAGAUGACGAGGCUCGGGAUCUGA
rnacentral:rRNA from 1 species